rnacentral:lncRNA from 1 species
CGUGUUCGUUAUCUUUACCAGUAGGUGGAGCUGCCACGUUAGGUGCCGCUUUUUUUCAUUUCUUCUCCCCCUUCGCUCCCCCACCCUUCGCCCUCCCUCUUCCUAAUAAGCUGUUUUCUGAUACAUGUUGGGUACCAUAGAGUGAGAGGGAACAGGAAGCGGAGGCAGAAUCGGGGAGGAUUCUGGAAAGGUCUCUGUGUUUUCUUUUCCACUGAGAAUACAGAAAUUACGAUUAAUUAGUAAAGCUUCGUGGAUGGAAAUCUGUACAAUUUCAGCAGGGGAUACAUAUUGUCACGUUAUUUUUGGAUGCUGGGCUUUGCAGUGAUUUUUCAUUCUCCUUUAAUCAGAGGCAUGGACACAUUCUUCCACAGAACAAUGUAACGACAACAGUCUUUUCCUUAGGUUGGAAAAAUGGGGCUAUAUGGAGACAUAAAUUUAUCUUUGCCUACUGCAAUUGA